AACCCUAAGACACAAAAAGAGGCAGCGCCUCUUAGCUUCUCUCCCUCACGUAUUUUUUCUUCUGGAAAACCAAACUUGAGAACAAACUCUUUCUCGGCUUCGGCUCUCACCCUCUCCGUGAACAACAAUAACGGCGGCUUCCUCUCCUUCUCGGUUUCGCUCUCACUGGUCAUCUCUUUCUCUCGUGAUUUUCUCUCUCGGUGGAACCAAGCCUACAGCAAGAACAUCUCUCGGUUUCUCACUCAAUUGGUAGCCUCUCCCUCACGGUGAACAACAACGGUGGCUUGCCUCAUAGAGCAGAAACAACAGCGACCAAAAGCUCUCGGAUUUCCUCUCUGUCUAUGAACAACAGCAACUUUUGAUUCGAGGCAUCACGCCCCUGUCCGUGAAACCUUACGUAACAACAACUGUGCUUGCUCUCCUGAUUUCAACAACAACAGUAACUUCCAGCUACCAUGGAGACGCUAAAAGCUCACACAAAUUUUGAUGAAACUACAAUGAUGACUUCGUUUCUACAACAAAUUCUGAAUCGAUUUUACCAAACUCAUGGACAGGGGCGAAAACUCAGAAUAAGUUUCUUUUUUUUUGUUGCUUCGGAUUUAACCGUUAUUAUGUGAUAUGUGAUAUAGCAGUGAUAGCUUACAAAUUAUAUUCUGUUUCCUUAUUACAGCAACAAUUAGCAGUGAUAUAAGAGUGGAAGUAGAAAGAAUUUACCUGCGGCAAGGAGAGUUUUGCCGGUUAUGGUUGAGGUAAGUGUUUUUAAUUGCUACUGCUCUGAAUUUUUGUUAUUGAUGCUGUCCCGAAUUUCUUUCUGAAGAAAUCUGCAAAUUAGCUUGUUGUUGCUGAAUUUUUUGAACCUUUGAUGAUGGUUGCUGUGUCGGAUCGUUGGAGAUGAUGUGGGGCUGCCACUAAAAGUUUGGAGGCUUUUUUUUUUUGAUGAAGGUGAUGCUACAACAUCUCUCUCUUUGGAUUGUGGGAGACUUGAAGAUGAAGAUCUUCAAGUGAGGUAUGAAGAACUACCUCUCCCUUCUUAGUAACUAUAGAACUUCUUGAAAAUUAUGAUAAGAAAGAGAAGUGAGAAAGCUAGUAGUAUAGUAGCUUUUGUGUAUUUUUGCAAUGAAGAGAACACUCCUAUUUAUAGGAAAAGCUUAGGAUGUGUUUGGCAAUUUGGUGAACUUGAUUGGCAAUUUUAUGGUCAUUGCAAGAAUAAGAAUAUAUUCUUCAUCAUUGCAAGAAUAAGAAUAUAUUCUUCAUCAUUGCAAGAAUAAGAAUAUAUUCCUUAUGUCAUUAUGCAAAGAUAUUCUCAUGAUAUAAGCCAUGUGUGUGAAUUUUUAUGUCAUUUUAUGAUAUCUCUAAGUUGCAUAAUUUUAUGACAUAAAAAUCUCUCUUUGACAUUCUUUGACUUUUGCUAAUUUCACCCCUCUUAUGUUUUCUUUUUCAUGUC